CUGCCUAUUCCAUAUUCCCUUCACAAAGAAUGACAUCUGGAUUGAGCACGUGUAGAACCACCGCAUUGUUUGUACAUGUGAAUGUCAAUGGCAGUUACGAUUGAUAAGAUGGGUCAGCCAUGGAUGCAAAUGGUAGAGAGCUUCGGAUUUUCAGUUGCUGCUAGCUCUACUGUGUUGUGCCAUCUGGUAAUGCCAAUGCAGUGGUUGUAUUGUUUACGAUUGCGGUUGAAAAUAGGUAGAUGAAUUAUUUCCUGUUAAUAGGAUGCUCUUGUUAAUAUUUACGGUCUUACAGGUCUUAGAAGUAAUAUUAAUAUGUAGGCACAAGACGAGGACCACGUGGAUUGCAUCAUUUGAUAUAUAUCUCAAUGGAUUAUGCAUUUCUUUUUUCCAUGUUACUUGGUGCUACAUUUUGUUUCUUGCCUGCCCACCAUUUUCAUUUGGCAUGUCCUAGGUUUAUGAAAUACUACUAGAUAAUGCUGUCGAUGAAGCUCAAACAUGCUAUACUACUGAGAUUAAUGUAGUUCUUCAUGAUGACAAAUUAGUUAGUGUGACUGGCAACGACCAUGGGGUAUGCAGGUACUAAAACCUAUGGAAGACUUCCUGAAUGUUCAAUUCUUCUACAUAUAUUGUGAAAAAGUAACUGUUAUAUAUAUGUGUUCAGUUUUGUGCUGCUGCACGGUGUGAACACCCUGAACAUUGCAAUUUCUAGGUCUAUGUCACACUAGAUGUGUAGGCCCGUAGCUGCGAGCUCGCCAUCUACGCCUUCGAGAACUGACGGCGACACAUCUCCUCGGGCAGAAUGCUAUGCACGACCACAAUGGCGUGACAAUUUCAGAUUCAUUCACCCAUCCAGGAUUAGUGUUUGUGUUUUUGUUUUAUGACAUCUGAACUUUAGAGGAUCCAAAGGACUGCGGUCGUCAAUUAGUGUUCAUUAACACAUGGCACAUGUGCUAAACCAAUCAGCUAUUCGUUGGAAAGUUAUACGAAAUCCAAAGGAAUCCAACCUUCAAUUGUAUCUCCCAAUAUAUCUCUACUCUGUUCUUCUUUGCUCUGCUUUUCAGGAAGAAGGUGGAUUGGUGGCCAUUUCAAGUAUGAAGAUGAGUUGGCAACGGUCGUUCAUUGGUUGAAGGAUGCAAUGCAUCUCGCCGAAUUCCAAUUUGUAUGAUUUGGUGCUUGCCUAGGCACGGUAGAGGAAAUAUGCAAGUUGGGUAGAAAGCUAGGCACGAUUCUCGAUAACAGUUUACAUACAUGCCUAGAUGUGUUGGAGAUGCAAUACAAUGUGUUUUAUAGGUGGCCGUGAAGGGCGAUUAAAAGUAAUCCAAAAUCACAUCAAGUUUCUGAAUUUCGAGGGAUUGAAAUCAGAUCGAGAUGCAUCUGCCUGAAUUUCAGGGAUGGAAAUCGAUAGAAAUGAAAAAUGGCUCAAUGAAAGUUGUAGUAUCUGCAUACUCUUUGUUGGUAUAUAAAUGAUGGCCUCCCUAAUACUUAUUCCCUGUAAAAUAGCUAUUUCAUGCAUUAUUUGGGAGUACAAACAUCAAUUAACAAAGGAAAUUGCAAGUUAUGUAUAGUGAUGUGUAUUGUUUAGAUCUAAUAAUGUACAAUCUAUACAUGGCAGUUUACACUCA